GACUUUAUAAACUUGUACUCUAAUUAAUGUCAAUCUGGGGCCCUAGGAAAUCCUUAAGGUUUUAGGGUGAAAUCGGAAACCUUUUUUAUGUAGGCCCUAGUUUUUAAAAUUUAAUGAACAAGCCAGAUUAGUACCUGGUUAGAUAAAAGUUAAAAGAGCAGGAGUAAAGUAGUAUUUAAACUGUAAGAAUAUUGGCAGGUUUUUAAAUUAUCUUUGGAGGUUGAGUAGUAAUUGAGAGCCCUCAUUAACAACUUUUGCUGUAGGCGCAUGUAUGAUCGUUUGUUUUAUUCUUAGGGGUUGUAAUUUUAGCUAUGUUGCUAUAAAAAUAGAUAGAUAUCUGGUCAAUGCAAAAGAUUCAAUUUGACCUACAAUAUUUCAUAAUGUGGAUCCGGGCCAUAGUGGUCGGGUUGAAAAUGUAAAAGACAGUAAGCCACUUUUUAUGGGGGGCUGAAGUUUAUUUAAAGAC
rnacentral:rRNA from 1 species